rnacentral:lncRNA from 10 species
AUGUGACAGAGGACAAGAAUAGAAUACAGUUAUAGAACUGGAAUUCGCUUUUUCAUGCUAAUUUCCCUGAAUACGUUCCAGAGGACAAGGACUGUGUUGUUCAUCACAGUAUUCCAGAACUUAAAAGGAACUGGCACAUAAUUGGAGCUUACUAAUAUUCGUCAAAAAAAUGAACAAAUGAGGCAAUGACAGUGGUCUUGUGAAGCUGCUGCUAUUUACAGGGACUCACUCAUUCCGCAAGUAUUUUUUGCACCUCCUACCACACUCCACUCAGUUACAUGCUGGGAAUACCACAGUAAAG